GGGGUAGUAGCUCAAAUGGUAGAGCGCUCACUUAACAUGCGAGAGGUAGUGGGAUCGAUGCCUGCAUUCUCCA
rnacentral:tRNA from 1 species